CAGGGAUUGCCUCAGUAACGGCGAGUGAAGCGGCAACAGCUCAAAUUUUAAAGCUGGCGUCUUCGACGCCCGCGUUGUAAUUUGGAGAGGCAUCUUCGGUUUGGGCGCCAGCCUAUGUUCCUUGGAACAGGACGUCACAGAGGGUGAGAAUCCCGUGCUUGGCUGGCUGUCCCUUGCCAUGUGAAGUGCCUUCGACGAGUCGAGUUGUUUGGGAAUGCAGCUCAAAAUGGGUGGUAAAUUCCAUCUAAAGCUAAAUAUUGGCGGGAGACCGAUAGCGCACAAGUAGAGUGAUCGAAAGAUGAAAAGCACUUUGAAAAUAGAGUUAAAAAGUACGUGAAAUUGUUGAAAGGGAAGCGCUUGAGACCAGACUCGGCCGGAGAUGAUCAGCCGUCCUUCUGGGCGGUGCACUUGUCUCCGGUCGGGCCAGCAUCGGUUGAGACGGCGGGAUAAAGGCCCGGGGAAUGUGGCUCCUUUCGGGGAGUGUUAUAGCCCCGGACGCAAUGCCGCCAGCCUCGACCGAGGACCGCGCUUUUUGCUAGGAUGCUGGCGUAAUGGUCUUCAGCGACCCGUCUUGAAACACGGACCAAGGAGUCUAACAUCUAUGCGAGUGUUUGGGUGUCAAACCCUUGCGCGUAAUGAAAGUGAACGGAGGUGGGAACCCCCUCGCGGGGCGCACCAUCGACCGGUCCUGAUGUCUUCGGAUGGAUCUGAGUAGGAGCAUAGCUGUUGGGACCCGAAAGAUGGUGAACUAUGCCUGAAUAGGGUGAAGCCAGAGGAAACUCUGGUGGAGGCUCGCAGCGGUUCUGACGUGCAAAUCGAUCGUCAAAUUUGGGUAUAGGGGCGAAAGACUAAUCGAACC
rnacentral:rRNA from 1 species